rnacentral:rRNA from 1 species
AGAGUUUGAUCCUGGCUCAGGAUGAACGCUAGCUACAGGCUUAACACAUGCAAGUCGAGGGGAAACGAUAGGGAAAGCUUGCUUUUCCUAGGCGUCGACCGGCGCACGGGUGAGUAACGCGUAUCCAACCUGCCCAUGUCUGGGGAAUAACCCGUCGAAAGGCGGACUAACUCCCCAUGGUCUCCGAUGAGGACAUCUGAAUUGGAGUAAAGCUUCGCGGACAUGGAUGGGGAUGCGUCUGAUUAGGUAGUAGGCGGGGUAACGGCCCACCUAGCCUACGAUCAGUAGGGGUUCUGAGAGGAAGGUCCCCCACAUUGGAACUGAGACACGGUCCAAACUCCUACGGGAGGCAGCAGUGAGGAAUAUUGGUCAAUGGACGAGAGUCUGAACCAGCCAAGUAGCGUGAAGGAUGACUGCCCUAUGGGUUGUAAACUUCUUUUAUACGGGAAUAAAGUGAGGCACGUGUGCCUUUUUGUAUGUACCGUAUGAAUAAGGAUCGGCUAACUCCGUGCCAGCAGCCGCGGUAAUACGGAGGAUCCGAGCGUUAUCCGGAUUUAUUGGGUUUAAAGGGAGCGUAGGCGGACUAUUAAGUCAGCUGUGAAAGUUUGCGGCUCAACCGUAAAAUUGCAGUUGAUACUGGUCGUCUUGAGUGCAGUAGAGGUAGGCGGAAUUCGUGGUGUAGCGGUGAAAUGCUUAGAUAUCACGAAGAACUCCGAUUGCGAAGGCAGCUUACUGGACUGUAACUGACGCUGAUGCUCGAAAGUGUGGGUAUCAAACAGGAUUAGAUACCCUGGUAGUCCACACAGUAAACGAUGAAUACUCGCUGUUUGCGAUAUACAGUAAGCGGCCAAGCGAAAGCAUUAAGUAUUCCACCUGGGGAGUACGCCGGCAACGGUGAAACUCAAAGGAAUUGACGGGGGCCCGCACAAGCGGAGGAACAUGUGGUUUAA